rnacentral:rRNA from 1 species
UAGGGAAUCUUCCGCAAUGGGCGAAAGCCUGACGGAGCAACGCCGCGUGAGUGAUGAAGGUCUUCGGAUCGUAAAACUCUGUUAUUAGGGAAGAACAAAUGUGUAAGUAACUAUGCACAUCUUGACGGUACCUAACCAGAAAGCCACGGCUAACUACGUGCCAGCAGCCGCGGUAAUACGUAGGUGGCAAGCGUUGUCCGGAUUUAUUGGGCGUAAAGCGAGCGCAGGCGGUCAAUUAAGUCUGAUGUGAAAGCCCCCGGCUCAACCGGGGAGGGUCAUUGGAAACUGGUUGACUUGAGUGCAGAAGAGGAGAGUGGAAUUCCAUGUGUAGCGGUGAAAUGCGUAGAUAUAUGGAGGAACACCAGUGGCGAAGGCGACUCUCUGGUCUGUAACUGACGCUGAGGUUCGAAAGCGUGGGUAGCAAACAGG